rnacentral:rRNA from 1 species
GAUGAACGCUGGCGGCGUGCCUAAUACAUGCAAGUAGAACGCUGAAGGAAGGAGCUUGCUCUUUCCGGAUGAGUUGCGAACGGGUGAGUAACGCGUAGGUAACCUGCCUGGUAGCGGGGGAUAACUAUUGGAAACGAUAGCUAAUACCGCAUAACAGUAGAUGUUGCAUGAUAUCUACUUAAAAGGUGCAAUUGCACCACUACCAGAUGGACCUGCGUUGUAUUAGCUAGUUGGUGAGGUAACGGCUCACCAAGGCGACGAUACAUAGCCGACCUGAGAGGGUGGUCGGCCACCCUGGGACCUGGACACGGCCCCGACUCCUACGGGAGGCAGCAGGAGGGGAACUUCGGCAAUGGACGGAAGUCUGAACGGGCAACGCCGCGUGAGUGAAGAAGGUUUUCGGAUCGUAAAGAUCCGUUGUAAGAGAAGAACGAGUGUGAGAGUGGAAAGUUCACACUGUGACGGUAUCUUACCAGAAAGGGACGGCUAACUACGUG